rnacentral:rRNA from 1 species
GUCCACAAUGAUCCUGUCUGAUCUGAAGCUAAGCAGGCUUGGCCUGGUUAGUACUUGGAUGGAGAAUACCAGGUACUAUGGGUU